AUUGAACGCUGGCGGCAGGCCUAACACAUGCAAGUCGAACGGUAACAGGAAACAGCUUGCUGUUUCGCUGACGAGUGGCGGGCGGGUGAGUAAUGUCUGGGAAACUGCCUGAUGGAGGGGGUUAACUACUGGAAACGGUUGCUAAUACCGCAUAACGUCGCAAGACCAAAGAGGGGGACCUUCGGGCCUCUUGCCAUCGGAUGUGCCCAGAUGGGAUUAGCUAGUAGGUGGGGUAACGGCUCACCUAGGCGACGAUCCGUAGCUGGUCUGAGAGGAUGACCAGCCACACUGGAACUGAGACACGGUCCAGACUCCUACGGGAGGCAGCAGUGGGGAAUAUUGCACAAAGGGCGAAAGCCUGAUGCAGCCAUGCCGCGUGUAUGAAGAAGGCCUUCGGGUUGUAAAGUACUUUCAGCGGGGAGGAAGGGAAUAAAGUUAAUACCUUUACUCAUUGACGUUACCCGCAGAAGAAGCACCGGCUAACUCCGUG
rnacentral:rRNA from 1 species